GCCAUAAUCAUAGGAUUAGGAGAAUGAGAAUGGGUGGUCCAUCUUUGGUUGUUUUUGAAAAUUUAUUUUAGGCUAAAUGCAUUAUAUAUCUUGAAUUUUAUGUUGAUAGAUAUGGUAUGUUUUAUUGACCUAUGUUUAUUUUUGGAAAGCCAUACAAACUAAAAAUUUAUAUUUAAUCGAACUAGAGGUUUUGGUAACUUAUUGAGUCCGUAAAGCUCAUAUCCACUCUUCUACUUUUUUCAAAUGCGGAAGAAUAUACGAGCUAGG
rnacentral:lncRNA from 1 species